UACGUAGGGAGCAAGCGUUGUCCGGAAUCAUUGGGCGUAAAGCGCGCGUAGGUGGUCCCGUAAGUCCGCUGUGAAAGUCAAAGGCUCAACCUUUGAAAGCCGGUGGAUACUGUGGGACUAGAGUACGGAAGAGGCGAGUGGAAUUCCUGGUGUAGCGGUGGAAUGCGCAGAUAUCAGGAGGAACACCAACGGCGAAGGCAGCUCGCUGGGACGGUACUGACACUGAGGCGCGAAAGCGUGGGGAGCAAACAGG
rnacentral:rRNA from 1 species